rnacentral:rRNA from 1 species
UGACUGGGCGUAAAGGGCAUGUAGGUGGGUCAUUAAGUUAGGUGUGAAAUCCCCGGGCUCAACCUUGGAACAGCACUUAAAACUGGUGGUCUAGAGUAUUGUAGAGGAAGGUAGAAUUCCAUGUGUAGCGGUGAAAUGCGUAGAGAUGUGGAGGAAUACCGGUGGCGAAGGCGGCCUUCUGGACAAAUACUGACGCUGAGAUGCGAAAGCGUGGGGAGCAAACAGGAUUAGAUACCCUGGUAGUCCACGCUGUAAACGAUGUCGAUUUGGAGUUUGGUGGCAUGACUGCUGGGCUCCGAAGCUAACGCGUUAAAUCGACCGCCUGGGGAGUACGGCCGCAAGGUUAAAACUCAAAUGAAUUGACGGGGGCCCGCACAAGCGGUGGAGCAUGUGGUUUAAUUCGAUGCAACGCGAAGAACCUUACCUGGUCUUGACAUCCACAGAAUUUUGUAGAGAUACGAAAGUGCCUUAGGGAGCUGUGAGACAGGUGCUGCAUGGCUGUCGUCAGCUCGUGUUGUGAAAUGUUGGGUUAAGUCCCGCAACGAGCGCAACCCUUAUCCUUUGUUGCCAUCGGUUAGGCCGGGAACUCAAAGGAGACUGCCGUUGAUAAAGCGGAGGAAGGUGGGGACGACGUCAAGUCAUCAUGGCCCUUACGACCAGGGCUACACACGUGCUACAAUGGCGCAUACAAAGAGAAGCAAACCAGCGAUGGCAAGCGGACCUCAUAAAGUGCGUCUAAGUUCGGAUUGGAGUCUGCAACUCGACUCCAUGAAGUCGGAAUCGCUAGUAAUCGUGAAUCAGAAUGUCACGGUGAAUACGUUCCCGGGCCUUGUACACACCGCCC